rnacentral:rRNA from 1 species
CGCGUAGGCGGUCUCUAAAGUCAGAUGUGAAAGCCCGGGGCUUAACCCCGGAAGUGCAUUUGAAACUUAGGGACUUGAGUAUGGGAGAGGGAAGUGGAAUUCCUGGUGUAGCGGUGAAAUGCGUAGAUAUCAGAAGGAACACCAGUGGCGAAGGCGACUUCCUGGACCAAUACUGACGCUGAGGCGCGAAGGCGUGGGGAGCAAACA